rnacentral:rRNA from 1 species
GACGAACGCUGGCGGCGUGCUUAACACAUGCAAGUCGAGCGGUAAGGCUCCUUCGGGAGUACACGAGCGGCGAACGGGUGAGUAACACGUGAGUAAUCUGCCCUUCACUUCGGGAUAACCACCGGAAACGGUGGCUAAUACCGAAUACGACCAGUCUUCGCAUGAGGUGCUGGUGGAAAGUCUUUUCGGUGAAGGAUGUGCUCGCGGCCUAUCAGCUUGUUGGUGGGGUAAUGGCCUACCAAGGCUUCGACGGGUAGCCGGCCUGAGAGGGUGACCGGCCACACUGGGACUGAGACACGGCCCAGACUCCUACGGGAGGCAGCAGUGGGGAAUAUUGGACAAUGGGCGAAAGCCUGAUCCAGCAACGCCGCGUGAGGGAUGACGGCCUUCGGGUUGUAAGCCUCUUUCAGUACCGACGAAGCGCCCUGUCGGGUGGUGACGGUAGGUACAGAAGAAGGACCGGCCAACUACGUG